GUAAGGAAUAUUGGACAAUGGACGCAAGUCUGAUCCAGCCAUGCCGCGUGAAGGAUUAAGGUCCUCUGGAUUGUAAACUUCUUUUAUAAGGGACGAAAAAAGGCUUUUCUAAGUCGUCUGACGGUACCUUAUGAAUAAGCACCGGCUAACUCCGUGCCAGCAGCCGCGGUAAUACGGAGGGUGCAAGCGUUAUCCGGAUUCACUGGGUUUAAAGGGUGCGUAGGCGGGCAGGUAAGUCAGUGGUGAAAUCCUAGAGCUUGACUCUAGAACUGCCAUUGAUACUAUCUGUCUUGAAUAUUGUGGAGGUAAGCGGAAUAUGUCAUGUAGCGGUGAAAUGCUUAGAUAUGACAUAGAACACCUAUUGCGAAGGCAGCUUACUACGCAUAUAUUGACGCUGAGGCACGAAAGCGUGGGGAUCAAACAGGAUUAGAAACCCCGGUAGUCC
rnacentral:rRNA from 1 species